GCCAGUGUGGCCUAGUGGUUUGAGAGUUGGACUGCAGCUCUGGAGACCAGGGUUCAAUUCCCAGCUUGACC